AGUUUUGAGAAGUAUAUUACCAGAGUUGGAUUGUUAAUGUAAAGCAACCAGUUUCCUAAUCAUCUGUGUUUUUUGUAUGUUCUCACACAGAAGAAAGAACCUUCUAAAUCCAGCAUCAAGAAAAAAGUGACCAAAGUUGCAGAAGCAAAAAAAGUAAUGAAGAGAAAUUUUAAAGUGAAUAAGAAGAUAACAUUUACUGAUGAAGGGGAGUUGGUUCAGCAGUGGCCACAAAUGCAGAAAUCUGCCAUCAAGGAUGCUGAGGAAGAUGAUGACACGGGUGGUAUCAACUUAGAUAAAGCAAAGGAAAGACUUCAGGAAGAGGACAAAUUUGACAAAGAAGAAUAUAGGAAAAAAAUUAAGGCAAAGCAUCGG
rnacentral:sRNA from 1 species